rnacentral:rRNA from 1 species
UACGUAGGGUGCGAGCGUUGUCCGGAAUUAUUGGGCAUAAAGAGCUCGUAGGCGGUGUGUCGCGUCGGCCGUGAAAACCUGGGGCUCAACUCUGGGCGUGCGGUCGAUACGGGCAUCACUUGAGUUCGGCAGGGGAGACUGGAAUUCCUGGUGUAGCGGUGAAAUGCGCAGAUAUCAGGAGGAACACCGGUGGCGAAGGCGGGUCUCUGGGCCGAUACUGACGCUGAGGAGCGAAAGCAUGGGUAGCGAACAGG